rnacentral:rRNA from 1 species
AGAGUUUGAUCCUGGCUCAGGACGAACGCUGGCGGCGUGCUUAACACAUGCAAGUCGAACGGAAAGGCCCUUCGGGGUACUCGAGUGGCGAACGGGUGAGUAACACGUGGGUGAUCUGCCCUGCACUUUGGGAUAAGCCUGGGAAACUGGGUCUAAUACCGAAUAUGACCAUGCACUUCCUGGUGUGUGGUGGAAAGCUUUUGCGGUGUGGGAUGGGCCCGCGGCCUAUCAGCUUGUUGGUGGGGUAAUGGCCUACCAAGGCGACGACGGGUAGCCGGCCUGAGAGGGUGACCGGCCACACUGGGACUGAGAUACGGCCCAGACUCCUACGGGAGGCAGCAGUGGGGAAUAUUGCACAAUGGGCGCAAGCCUGAUGCAGCGACGCCGCGUGAGGGAUGACGGCCUUCGGGUUGUAAACCUCUUUCAGCACAGACGAAGCGCAAGUGACGGUAUGUGCAGAAGAAGGACCGGCCAACUACGUGCCAGCAGCCGCGGUAAUACGUAGGGUCCGAGCGUUGUCCGGAAUUACUGGGCGUAAAGAGCUCGUAGGUGGUUUGUCGCGUUGUUCGUGAAAACUCACAGCUUAACUGUGGGCGUGCGGGCGAUACGGGCAGACUUGAGUACUGCAGGGGAGACUGGAAUUCCUAGUGUAGCGGUGGAAUGCGCAGAUAUCAGGAGGAACACCGGUGGCGAAGGCGGGUCUCUGGGCAGUAACUGACGCUGAGGAGCGAAAGCGUGGGGAGCGAACAGGAUUAGAUACCCUGGUAGUCC